AUUAAGAUGACGAGUCCCAAAUAAAACGAAAUGAACAUCCUGAAU
rfam:Schistosoma rodhaini strain Burundi genome assembly, scaffold: SROB_scaffold0003967